UGUGUGAGUGCAUUGAGGUGG
rnacentral:misc_RNA from 1 species